GGUCGUUAGCUCAGCUGGUAGAGUACUCGGCUACGAACCGAGCGGUCGGAGGUUCGAAUCCUGCACGACCCACCA
rnacentral:tRNA from 1 species